GAUCCUGGCUCAGGAUGAACGCUGGCGGCGUGCUUAACACAUGCAAGUCGAACGGAACUACUUUAAUGAGAUUCUUCGGAAAGGAUUUGAUUUAGUUUAGUGGCGGACGGGUGAGUAACGCGUGGGUAACCUGCCUCAUACAGGGGGAUAACAGUUGGAAACGGCUGUUAAUACCGUAUAAGCGCACAGUACCGCAUGGUACAGUGUGAAAAACUCUGGUGGUAUGAGAUGGACCCGCGUCUGAUUAGCUAGUUGG
rnacentral:rRNA from 1 species